GGAUUCAGGUGAUGGAGGUGUUUUAUGAGCACACACAAAACAAGUGAUACACGUUUUUGUCUCCACUUAAGAUGAAAGGAAUUUUCUUCUUUGACCACAGUGUUUCACACAAGAUUGGUAAGAUCCACUGGACUCUUAUUUCAUUUGGAAUUACAAAAUCCUUUGCAGAGUUACUUCUUCCUCUGAAGUCUUGAAACACUCCAAGUCAUCCUUGAGGGUUGAAAUCCACUUCUUCAAAACUCCUGUUAAUAUUGGAAAUGAGCAUUGACUAUUAGGCACCUGGAUGAAGACUGGGUCCAGAUUGUCAGUCUCCUGUAACCUGCAGAAGCCCUCCAGUUGCACUAGGAACAUUCAAUUG
rnacentral:lncRNA from 1 species